UGGGGAAUAUUGCACAAUGGGGGAAACCCUGAUGCAGCGACGCCGCGUGAGCGAAGAAGGUUUUCGAAUCGUAAAGCUCUGUCCUAUUGGAAGAUAAUGACGGUACCAUAGGAGGAAGCCCCGGCUAACUACGUGCCAGCAGCCGCGGUAAUACGUAGGGGGCAAGCGUUGUCCGGAAUCACUGGGCGUAAAGGGUUCGCAGGCGGAAAUGCAAGUCAGUUGUGAAAGGCAGAGGCUCAACCUCUGUAAGCAAUUGAAACUGUAUUUCUUGAGAUGUGGAGAGGCAAGUGGAAUUCCUAGUGUAGCGGUGAAAUGCGUAGAUAUUAGGAAGAAUACCGGUGGCGAAGGCGACUUGCUGGACACAAACUGACGCUGAGGAACGAAAGCGUGGGUAGCAAACAGG
rnacentral:rRNA from 1 species